rnacentral:misc_RNA from 1 species
AAGGAGCACCACGAGAAUCAGGCCCGCCCGCAUCGUGUGGGAGUUCGGUGACCUUGGUCGAAUCGUGAAGAUGGCUUGUUCUCUGUAGUGGAGGCAGGUCUGGUGCAUGCAACAAACGUGAGAAGUGGUGUGGGAACACUGCUUUGAGGAAUUGCCGGACACACUAUUGGGCUUUGAGACAACAGGCCCGUGCCCCUUUUUUGUGGGGGUGGCUCCGCGUUGGUGGGGUCGGCGUGUUGUUGCCCUGCUUUGGUGGUGGGGUGUGGUGUUUGAUUUGUGGAGAGUGGUUGCGAGCAUCUGAGCAUGCUGGU